rnacentral:rRNA from 1 species
AGAGUGAACGCUGGCGGCAGGCCUAAUACAUGCAAGUCGAACGGAUCCUUCGGGAUUAGUGGCGGACGGGUGAGUAACACGUGGGAACGUGCCCUUUGGUUCGGAACAACUCAGGGAAACUUGAGCUAAUACCGAAUGUGCCCCCAUCCUUAAACAAGAUGGGUGGGAAAGAUUUAUCGCCAUUGGAGCGGCCCGCGUCUGAUUAGCUAGUUGGUGAGGUAAAGGCCCACCAAGGCUACGAUCAGUAGCUGGUCUGAGAGGAUGAUCAGCCACACUGGGACUGAGACACGGCCCAGACUCCUACGGGAGGCAGCAGUAGGGAAUCUUGCGCAAUGGGGGAAACCCUGACGCAGCAACGCCGCGUGGAGGAUGAAGUCCCUUGGGACGUAAACUCCUUUCGAUCGGGACGAUAAUGACGGUACCGAGAGAAGAAGCCCCGGCUAACUUCGUGCCAGCAGCCGC